GACGAACCGAGCGAACGUUGUUCGGAAUCACUGGGCUUAAAGGGCGCGUAGGCGGGCUGCCGCGUCCGGGGUGAAAUCCCACGGCUCAACCGUGGAACGGCCCCGGGUACGGGCGGCCUCGAGGGGGGUAGGGGCGUGCGGAACUUCCGGUGGAGCGGUGAAAUGCGUAGAUAUCGGAAGGAACACCGGUGGCGAAAGCGACUUCCUGGACCAAUACUGACGCUCAUGUGCGAAAGCGUGGGGAGCAAACAGG
rnacentral:rRNA from 1 species